GAGAGUAAAACAGUACGUGAAAUUGUUGAAAGGGAAACGCUUGAAGUCAGUCGUGCCGGCGUUGGAUUCAGCUUGCUUCGCGGAGCAGGCGCAUUUCCGCGCAUGGCAGGUCAGCGUCAGUUUUGCGCGGCGUGAAAAGGCUCGGGUAAGGUAGCUCUCUUCGGGGAGUGUUAUAGACCUGGGCAGAUGCGCUGCGCGGGACUGAGGAUUGCAGCGGACACCUCUUCGGGGGCGCGGCGACCGAACCCUGCUCGGCCACCCUCGUUCGAUAGCGUGCUAGCGGACGCGGGAGCGGCAGUGCACCGGAACAGGCAAGCCAGCGGUUCGCUAAGGAUGCUGACGUAAUGGCUUUAAACGA
rnacentral:rRNA from 1 species